GCGAGUGCCAGCCUAUGCUGACCCGAUACAACCCUGUUAACAUGCUAUGUACAAUGUUUUUGAAUACUGAUAAUCAGUGCUGGUAUGGUGCCCGGUACCGAUGGUACGUACCAAAAUUGACAGCUUUGAAAAUUAAAAAACCAUUGGUAUCGACUAAUAUGAUCUGUGUGGUACCGCCAGUAUGGAUGCGAACUGGUACGGUCUGUACU
rnacentral:lncRNA from 1 species